CCAAUAGCGUAUAUUAAAGUUGUUGCAGUUAAAAAGCUCGUAGUUGAAUUUCGGGGUUAGUAGGUUGGUCGUGCCUUUGGUAUGUACUGGUCUCACUGAUUCCUCCUUCUUGAAGAACUGUGAUGUCAUUAAUUUGGUGUUGCAGGGAAACAGGACUGUUACUUUGAAAAAAUUAGAGUGUUUAAAGCAGGCUAACGCCUGAAUACAUUAGCAUGGAAUAAUGAAAUAGGACGUUUGAUCCUAUUUUGUUGGUUUCUAGGAUUGACGUAAUGAUUAAUAGGGAUAGUUGGGGGAAUUAGUAUUCAAUUGUCAGAGGUGAAAUUCUUGGAUUUAUUGAAGACUAACUACUGCGAAAGCAUUUGCCAAGGAUGUUUUCAUUAAUCAAGAACGAAAGUUAGGGGAUCGAAGACGAUCAGAUACCGUCGUAGUCUUAACCAUAAACUAUGCCGACUAGGGAUCGGAUGAUGUUAAUUUUUUAAUGACUCAUUCGGCGCCUUACG
rnacentral:rRNA from 1 species